ACGUGGACCGCAAACAGCGAACAUGACCGCUAGCGUCUGCUCACCUGAUUCGUAGCGGUUUGCGGUCAAACAUUUUCACAAAAGAAGGGGGAUCUAAAACUCUGUUUUCCCCAUUUACGCUGCUUACCGCGAACAGCUGACGAUCUUACGUAUAAAGAACCUUUAAACUGGUUAACUAGUCUCCAGGUUUCCAUGUACACUCACUCUAUGGUCAUGUUUACUGAUUUUCGCCUUAACUGACGGUUUCAAGUAUUUUGAUGUCUCAUUUUCUAAUGAAGUGGAUUUUCCUUAUAACCUGUACGUUAUUAUAUCAUUUGACGAGAAAGGUGAAGCUCAAAAGCAUGUCGUUCAUAGGCCUCAUAACCCACUGAGUUCGGGUUCAUAUAAUUUCCAGUAAGUACAUUUCUCUCGUUACACGUAUCAAACAAUUAGAGUUUAUCAACAUUAAUACUAACAAAGCCUGCAUAAGCAAGGAUACUCAAACCUUCACAAUCUGGUAAUGUUCUUUUUUCUUUUGUUUUCGUUUUUUUUUUUUUUUGGAGGGGGGAGGGAGGGAAGGUUACUCGUGUUGUUUACCAGGCUAUCACUUUCGGUUUUGCUACAUUUUGUUUUCUUGUGAUUUAUUAGAUUUGUUUUGUUUGUUUGUUUGCUUUUCUUGCGUGCCUAUAGGUGUAGGGAAUUUUUUAAUUUAUGAACCACAGCUGUUCAAACACUAUACCGGUGUCUUGUAUCACAGCAUGUGGGUUACCGGUUUACUCUUUGCUGACAUCUGGCGACAUUAUUGUAUCGUUCGAUUAUUCAUGACUGUAAUACAAUGAAAAGAAAGGAGUCUGAACCUAAAACAGCAACGUGAUUCUACAGAAACCGAAAUAUCUUUAAAGCGAAAUAUCCAAGAAAAACUAAUGAGGAAACCAGGGACAAAAAAAACCCAAACAAAACAAAACCACGAAAAGAAUGGUAAUAAUCACCGAAAAAUUAAGAUGAUAAUCACUAUAUGAUAACCGCAGCGACACAUAUCAAUCACUGAUUCAUGUAUGUUUUUACCAACCUUCCUUUGUUUUCGUGGUGUCAUUAGAUACCAUUAAACAGCCGAGAUAAGUUUUGCUUUUAUAAUUAUAAAAGCAAUGGCGACAUACAUGUGUUUCGUGCUCGUUGGUUCGGGAAUUGUUCGAACUGAUUGGGGAGACAUCUUAUCCAGUCACCAGGUUCGCCGGCUCUUAGAAGGUAGCGCAUUAACUAAAUGGAAGAAAAGUAUCGAAGUGCCCAGCCUUAAAUAGACCCUAACCUUCAGAUUAAAACUUGUUUGUGAAUUUUGGCGUUUAAAGCGUAAUACGGUUAACAUGGUUUGGUGCGCCAUUUAGUUCACGUUUAUGGAUGUUAGCCAAAACUUGAUUUAAUUUGUUCCUUCAAGAUCGCACCACGGCUAUAUGAAAGAGUCCAUUGUUUACGGUUUUGAUGGACUCCACCGGACUAAUAAUUACUGAAAAUUUUGAGCACGUUUGCAUUUGUUAUUAAUUGAUAUUGUUGACAGCAGGAGUGCAUGGUAAACAGCUAUAAGGGCUAGGAACAAUUAUCUGUUAGAGAGACGAUUUGUGCCCAAUCGCCUUACAACUUGAAACGUUGUCAGUUAAGUAAUGCUACUACGAACAUUUUGAACUGAAAAUGGAAGCAAGCCCGUGUAGAAAUGUUUGGAACACAACGGCCUUAGUAUCUCACAUGCGACCGAUAGGAAAACUAAAAUAUUGGGCAAUAUUUACUUUGGCAGUCGGGAGGAAGUUUUCGACAUGAAUACAUUUAUAACCGAAAUCUUAACUAGAUCUCUGCAGCCAGGUUAAACUUUUCACGACAAUAUUCAUCUCAUCAACUCCUUUAAUCAGAAAUAUUGUCUUGUGAAGGAGACGCUAUGCAAACAAAUACGGACUACUACUGGAAUUUCUGAGGACAGUAGUACUCU